CGCACAUUGCGCCCCUUGGUAUUCCAUGGGGCAUGCCUGUUCGAGCGUCAUUUGUACCUUCAAGCUCUGCUUGGUGAUGGGUGUUUGUCCUGUUGUUACGACGGGACUCGCCUCAAAAUUAUUGGCAGCCGGCAUAUUGGCCUUUGGAGCGCAGCACAUUUUGCGAUCUAAGUCUGUAUACUGGUAUCCACAAAGCUCAAUUAUCACUUUUGACCUCGGAUCAGGUAGGGAUACCCGCUGAACUUAA
rnacentral:misc_RNA from 1 species